rnacentral:rRNA from 1 species
GACGAACCGUGCGAACGUUGUUCGGAAUCACUGGGCUUAAAGGGCGCGUAGGCGGGUCAUCAAGUCCGUGGUGAAAGCCCCCAGCUUAACUGGGGAAGUGCCGUGGAUACUGGUGGUCUUGAGGGAGGUAGGGGCAUGUGGAACUCCAGGUGGAGCGGUGAAAUGCGUAGAUAUUGGGAAGAACACCGGUGGCGUAGGCGACUAGCUGGGCCAUAACUGACGCUGAGGAACGAAAGCCAGGGGAGCGAAUGGG